GCAUCGAUGCUGGGAGGAGGAGGAGGGAAGGUAUUAGGUUAUAAGGCAGGUUGAUAAACAACUGGUUUGGGAUGGCAUCGAUGCUGGGAGGAGGAGGGUCGGUAUUAGGUUAUAAGGCAGGUUGAUAAACAACUGGUUAGGGAUGGCAUCGAUGCUGGGAGGAGGAGGAGGAGGGUCGGUAUUAGGUUAGGAGGAGGAGGAGGAGGGUCGGUAUUAGGUUAGGAGGAGGAGGAGGAGGGUCGGUAUUAGGUUAGGAGGAGGAGGAGGAGGGUCGGUAUUAGGUUAGGAGGAGGAGGAGGAGGGUCGGUAUUAGGUUAGGAGGAGGAGGAGGAGGGUCGGUAUUAGGUUAGGAGGAGGAGGAGGAGGGUCGGUAUUAGGUUAGGAGGAGGAGGAGGAGGGUCGGUAUUAGGUUAGGAGGAGGAGGAGGAGGGUCGGUAUUAGGUUAGGAGGAGGAGGAGGAGGGUCGGUAUUAGGUUAGGAGGAGGAGGAGGAGGGUCGGUAUUAGGUUAGGAGGAGGAGGAGGAGGGUCGGUAUUAGGUUAGGAGGAGGAGGAGGAGGGUCGGUAUUAGGUUAGGAGGAGGAGGAGGAGGGUCGGUAUUAGGUUAGGAGGAGGAGGAGGAGGGUCGGUAUUAGGUUAGGAGGAGGAGGAGGAGGGUCGGUAUUAGGUUAGGAGGAGG